GACGAACGCUGGCGGCGUGCUUAACACAUGCAAGUCGAACGGGAUGAUUUAGAAGCUUGCUUUUAGAGAAUCUAGUGGCAAACGGGUGAGUAACACGUAGACAACCUGCCGACAGGAUGGGGACAACAUUCCGAAAGGAAUGCUAAUACCGAAUGAAGCGGAGGAGAGGCAUCUCUCCUCCGUGAAAGAUGGCCUCUGAAUAUGCUAUCACCUGUCGAUGGGUCUGCGUCUGAUUAGCUAGUUGGUGAGGUAACGGCUCACCAAGGCGACGAUCAGUAGCCGGUCUGAGAGGAUGAACGGCCACAUUGGGACUGAGACACGGCCCAGACUCCUACGGGAGGCAGCAGUGGGGAAUCUUCCGCAAUGGGCGCAAGCCUGACGGAGCAACGCCGCGUGAGUGAAGAAGGUCUUCGGAUCGUAAAGCUCUGUUGACGGGGACGAACGUACGGAGUGCGAAUAGUGCUCUGUAAUGACGGCACCUUCGAGGAGCC
rnacentral:rRNA from 1 species